GUUAAUCAUAACUACGUAUUUUCUGAUCUCAAAAAUCAAUUUCUCUUCUAAAUUCUCGAUCAACUAUCAAGUCUGAUCUGAAAUGGAAUCGAAUGACCAUUGUGAACAAGAUCAAACUGAAAUAGUUAAGAGACUUAAAAAGAAAAAGAAAACUCUCGGAAGAGUUUUGUCAAAACAAAAAGACAAAGCAAAAACAUAAAGAUUGGCAGCGAUAAAAAUUAAGUAUGGGAAUAUUACAAAAAAAAGUCUUGUGGACUUCCAGCUUAUUGGGAUUUGCACUGGCGUAGAAUGAGGGAAAAACAGCAAAGAAAUAUCUCUAGACGUCAAAGUUAUGCAGUAGCAUCAUUGUUAAA